AUACGUAGGGUGCGAGCGUUGUCCGGAAUGAUUGGGCGUAAAGGGCGCGUAGGCGGCCGCUUAAGUCUGGAGUGAAAGUCCUGUUUUCAAGAUGGGAAUUGCUUUGGAUACUGGGGGGCUUGAGUGCAGGAGAGGUUAUCGGAAUUCCCGGUGUAGCGGUGAAAUGCGUAGAGAUCGGUUGGAACACCAGUGGCGAAGGCGGUUACCUCGACUGUAACGGACGUUGAGCCUCCAAAUAGUGGGCAGAAGACAGGAUUUGGUCCCCGGGGAGUCCACGCCGUAAACGAUGAAUACUAGGUGUAGGGUUUCUAUAGAGAGUCGGUGCCGCAGCAAACGCAAUAAGGAUUCCAGCUGGGGGCUUCGUUCGCACGACUGCAACUGAAAGGAAUUGUCGGGG
rnacentral:rRNA from 1 species